rnacentral:lncRNA from 1 species
CAUUCCUACGCCAGAUCUGCAACGCCUAAGGCUUAAACUUGGCGCGGCGGUAAAUUUAGCCCGAAGGCAGCGGCUCCUAAGGGGCGGGGAUGUCUCCUUGGAAGAAGGAAAGGGAACAGGGUAAGAAAAUGGAGUUGCCUCUAGGAAGAAGAAUCAGGCAGAGGAAACAUUCAGGGCCGCUGGCGGACCACUGACAAAAAGAAAUCGGACGCAAAAGAAACCUCCCCAGAAGAAACUGGGCCACCGUGGGAGCCGUGCGAGACAGACUUCCCAUCUGGGAAGGGCUGCCUACGGGGGCUGCAAACCUACGCCGGCUCUGCUGAACUCUUCGAAAUAUAUAUGCAUAAAUUGUUCCUAAUGAGACCAUCUGUUUUUUAUGGCCCCUCUGGAAGCAGGAGGAACCCGAAGCCUGCUCCGUCUUGCAGAAAUCUGUGGCCAGGCAGGCCUGGGAAAUAAAUAGGGGAGAUUAGAA